rnacentral:rRNA from 1 species
GAACCCGGGGAAGUGAAACAUCUCAGUACCCGGAGGAAAGGACAUCAACCGAGACUCCGUUAGUAGUGGCGAGCGAACGCGGACUAGCCCAGUGGCUCAGACAAGCGAACCGGAACCGGCUGGAAAGCCGGGCCAGAGCGGGUGACAGCCCCGUACGGGUAGGAGCUUGUUUGGGUCCUCGAGUAGGGCGGGACACGUGAAAUCCUGCCUGAACGUGGGGGGACCACCCUCCAAGCCUAAGUACUCGUGCAUGACCGAUAGCGAACCAGUACCGUGAGGGAAAGGUGAAAA